GGAGAAAUUGAGGUCUGAGGGUGGGUGAGCGCUGUACCCCCCCUGAGUGAGGACCGUCCCCACACAGGGCCCCGCAGUGGAGUGAGUGCAGGGGUAGGAGGGGACUGUGCCUGCAGGAACCCCAGGGAAGUGGGACUGGGAAUCUGCUUUGGACUGAGUGGACAAUCGACAGCACAGUGCCUGCCAUGCGCUGGGGUCCCAUCAUUUUCAGGGAGGGGAGGAGCCUGCCCCAGGGUCCCACCUGGUGAACUGUGUGCGUGGGUACCUGUCUGGUGGCUGCCCUAAACUGCAGAAAACACCCGUGCUUCGUGGCCUGCCCUGGGAGGGUCUGCAGAUGGAAUGAAAUACCUGGGCCCCUGACCCUGUGCUACAGACCUGGCAGGGCGGGGCUUGUUCCUCUGUGUCCCAGGACCCUCAUUCAGACCCAGGAUGAGCAGGAGGUUGAUGGGGGAGGAGGUCCGGCUCUGACUGGUGUCCUGAGGUGCCAGGACACCAGGACACUGGUCAGAGCUGGCCCAGCCAGGUUUGCAGACAGGUGGCCUCGGCUUGGGCCUGCUUGCCCUGAAACCCUUCCCAGAGGUGGCCCCCACUGUGAGCCCCCAUGGUGAGCCCCUUGGCUCUUGCCGCACACCCUUUGAAGCCCUUCCUGUGAGUCCCUGAUGGCACCAGGGUGAGACCGUCCCCACUGUGAGGCCCCCUUUUACACCCUGGCCUAGUAGCGAGCCCCCAUGAGAUCCUGGUCCCCAGUAUGAGAACCCUGUGAGCCCCCGGCCCUCCACCAAUGCCCACAUCCUCCUCUACUUCCCACAGCCUUCCCUGGGGCUGACCCUGCCUUACUACUCCGAGACCUGGGCCAGGCAGCGUCCUGGCUCCUGGCCUCCUGUGGCCACCCCCCUACCUCUCCCUGACAUACAUUACUAACCCCAGCAGCUCCCUCCUCCCAGACUUUGAAGCCCAAGGGUGCUUCCAGCUCUUUGACCAAGCUGAAGCCCCUCCCCACCAAUCCUCAUUCUGGGCACCCUGGAGGUGUAGCUUUGGGGUGAGAUCUCUUGGACUUAUGUGCACAUAGUCUACAAAUCCUGGGCCUGGCUCCCUGGAGGCCAGCACCCCUCCCCUCUCCUCCUGAGGGCCUCCACCAAACCCCUGCUGACAACCUCAUUCUGCAGCACUAUCCCAGGGCCUGGGCUGUCCAGGACAGGCAGCUGGGGGCUCAGGCAGGGACAUGGAGGACAGGUAUGGGAGCUGCCACCACAGAGCUGAGCUCUGGGCAUCAGGGUAGGGGGCUACCAUCAAAAAAAAAAAAAGGAGAUAGGGUCUCUCUCUGUCACCCAGGCUUGAGUGCAGUGGUGUGAUCUCGGGUCACUGCUAUCUUCCCUUCCUGGGUUCAAGCGAUUCUCCCACCUAAGCUUCCCGAGUAGCUGGAACUACAAGUGCACCACCAUGCCUGGCUAAUUUUUGUAUUAAGAGCACAUUUCUUAAAAUAAAUAAAUAAAAAUUGCCAGCAUGGUGGCAUGUGCCUGUAGUCCCAGCUACUCAGGAGGCCAAGGUGGGAGAAUUGCUUGAGCUCAGUAAGAUUUACAGAAAUGGCCGGGCGUGGUGGCUCACGCCUGUAAUCCCAGAGCUUUGGAAGGCCGAGGCGGGCGGAUCACGAGGUCAGGAGAUGGA
ensembl:lncRNA